CACGUAGGGUGCGAGCGUUGUCCGGAAUUAUUGGGCGUAAAGAGCUCGUAGGCGGUGUGUCGCGUCGGCCGUGAAAACCCGCGGCUUAACUGUGGGCUUGCAGCCGAUACGGGCGGGCUGGAGUUCGGUAGGGGAGACUGGAAUUCCUGGUGUAGCGGUGAAAUGCGCAGAUAUCAGGAGGAACACCGGUGGCGAAGGCGGGGUCCUGGGCCAGUACUGACGCUGAGGUGCGAAAGCGUGGGGAGCAAACAGG
rnacentral:rRNA from 1 species